GCUUAUGUAGUUUAUUUAAAACACUAUAUUUUCAUUAUAGAAAUAAAAUUUAUUUUCUUAAGUUAAAUU
rnacentral:tRNA from 1 species